AUUGAACGCUGGCGGAAUGCUUUACACAUGCAAGUCGAACGGCAGCACGGACUUCGGUCUGGUGGCGAGUGGCGAACGGGUGAGUAAUGUAUCGGAACGGGCACAGGCGUUGGGGCUAACGCAGUGAAAAUUACGCUAAUACCGGUUACGAUCUAUGGAUGAAAGCGGGGGAUCGCAAGGCCUCGCGCGAUGGGAGCGGCCGAUAUCAGAUUAGGUAGUUGGUGGGGUAAAGGCCCACCAAGCCAACGAUCUGUAGCUGGUCUGAGAGGACGACCAGCCACACUGGAACUGAGACACGGUCCAGACUCCUACGGGAGGCAGCAGUGUGGAAUUUUGGACAAUGGGCGAAAGCCUGAUCCAGCCAUUCCGCGUGCAGGAUGAAGGCCCUCGGGUUGUAAACUGCUUUUGUACAGAACGAAAAGGUUUCUACUAAUACUAGGAGCUCAUGACGGUACUGUAAGAAUAAGCACCGGCUAACUACGUGCCAGCCGCCGCCGUAA
rnacentral:rRNA from 1 species